rnacentral:rRNA from 1 species
GUGAGGAAUAUUGGACAAUGGGCGCAAGCCUGAUCCAGCCAUGCCGCGUGCAGGAAGACGCAUCUAUGGUGUGUAAACUGCUUUUGUACGGGAAGAAACACUCCCUCGUGAGGGAGCUUGACGGUACCGUAAGAAUAAGGAUCGGCUAACUCCGUGCCAGCAGCCGCGGUAAUACGGAGGAUCCAAGCGUUAUCCGGAAUCAUUGGGUUUAAAGGGUCCGUAAGCGGUUUAAUAAGUCAGUGGUGAAAGCCCAUCGCUCAACGAUGGAACGGCCAUUGAUACUGUUAGACUUGAAUUACAAGGAAGUAACUAGAAUAUGUAGUGUAGCGGUGAAAUGCUUAGAUAUUACAUGGAAUACCAAUUGCGAAGGCAGGUUACUACUUGUGGAUUGACGCUGAUGGACGAAAGCGUGGGGAGCGAACAGGAUUAGAAACCCGUGUAGUCC